CUGUUAUUAGCAUGUGUUGGCUGGCCACGGAACCAUUUGGUAUAUGUAACAGGAGUCCCAUCUGACCAUUCAAAGAACAUUUGAAUCUUGAGAUCAUUCAGACCAAUCCAUAGCUCAUCACUUGAUUCUAAUUCAUUGCAGAUCAGUAGGCAUUGCUUGCCACACCUUCAAGCAAAGCUUUUUAAUCAUGAUGGAUGGAUUGGAUAAUAUACAUAGACUGGUCUAAAUAUGCAACAGAUUGAUGUGAAAAUGCAACAAAAAGCAAAGUCUUUCUCAUUCCACACAGGUCAAUUAAAUUCCAAAGAAAUUUUUUUCAUGGAAAUGGAAAAUCCAGGCAGGCCCAAAUUUUGCAAAAUGUUGGGAAGUUAUAUAAUCCAAAAAAAGUGAUACCAGGUCCAGAAUUCUUCUUCACCAGCUCUAAUAAUAAAGUUAAACUAUUCCAACAAGCAUCCUGAGAAUAAGACAUAAGCAGAAAGACUUCUUUUGCAAGGAAAGAAAUUGCAAAUUAGAUUUCCACCCAACUUGACAACAUACUUCAACCAUAUAUGUCACAUAUGUAAACCACAAUCUCUCCGCAGGAGUAAUGUCAUUCCCAUAUUCAUAAACAUCUGUAGUGUUAUGUAUCUAAUUUUGGAGGGAAAAUUGAGUGGGAAAAAGCUUGAUGAUGAUUGGCCAGCACCCUGGCCAAAAUACUAUGUAAGAAAAACUUGUCCUACUGUACAUUUGCUGGAUUCUCACAGUGAAAUAAAGAGCUUUUGUUCACAUAGACCUGGCUCCUAUGUCCUCACUCAGCCAACAUAACACUGGCGACGAAAGUGGGAUCAAAGUAGACAGGUAGCACAAAAAGAGUUGACAGCCAAUGAAUCCAGCCAGAUGGACAAGUCUGCAAGAACCAAGCACAACAAACAUGAUGUCCGCCUACACGCUGCCAACACCAUUCGAUCCCACGAAAGAGAAGUGGGGAUCGUACAUGGCACGGUUUGAAUGCUUCCUCGAAGCUAAUGAACUUCAAGGGCUGUCUGACAAUCGGAAGCAGGCCCUUUUCCUGAGCCAUUGCAGCCCCAAAGUAUUCGACAUGGCAGAGUCACUAUCAGAACCGAGCCCGGUACAGUCACUACCCUGGCAGGUUCUACAGACCACGCUGAGGUCACAUUACACCCCGGUACCAUCCAAAUUUGUCCAGUGAUACCAAUUCUGGCAGAGGCUGCAGAGAGAGGGAGAGCCAAUAAGCGCCUACAUGAUCGCACUGCAUAAGGCUGCCACAUAUUGCAAGUAAUAAGACCUUGAUGAUGUGCUCCUAGAGCAACUAAUCUGUGGUGUGAGAGACAUUCGCUUCCAGAGGCGACUGCUAGCUAGCCAAAACUAACCUUACCCUGCACAUUGCACUAGAUGAAACAAGGGCACAUGAGUAAUCCAACAAGGCAGCUGAGACCCUGCAGUGACCAGCGCCACCCCAAACAACACAAAAAUCGGGCCCUGUCCAUAGAGAAGCAGCCCGGACCGACAGUGGAGAUGAGACUGACAAAGACAUUUUCAAGCGCGAUGACAGGGACAGAAAAGAAGUCUGUAAUCAUUGUGGAGGAUUCAACCAAAGGCAGAUCUGUCGGUUCAAAGAUGCCAUUUGCAGGCACUGUGACAAAAAAGGACAUUUGGCAAGGGUGUGCAGGGCAAUCCAGCCAUCCAGCCAUAAACAAAGAGCAGUCACUAGCCAAACCAGCCAGCAACAGUUCAGAAGGAAAGACAGGACUGCCCAGCAGAAGAAAGGCACGUAUUUCAAAACUCCAGAGACAUUUCAAACCCAGAUUGGACAAGCAACCACUUCUCCAGAGAAGAGGCUGCACAACACCAUCAAGAUCGAGGGCACUCCAUUUCAGAUUGAGAUUGACACUGGUUCGUCCAUCACAAUCAUGUCAUGGGCCAAGCUCAAAGCAGCAAUCCCAAAUUUAAAAAGAUACCAAUUGAAACACCAACAACUGAGACUAAAAGAUUACCAGGGAAAUAGCAUCCCUGUAGAAGGCUAUGGAAUGUUCCAGGUCAAGUUCGGCUAGUACAACAGGAUUCUACCUCUCACCAUGGUCAGCGGACAUCUGCCAAGCCUCCUCGGCCUAGAUUGGUUCAAGGCUUUGGGAAUUUAUUUUUAUUUAUUUAUUUAUUUAUCAAAUUUUUAUACCGCCCUUCUCCCAAAGGACUCAGGGCGGUGUACAGCCAAAGAUAAAAAACAAGAUAUAUACAAUUAAAACCAACAAUUAAAAACAUAGCAAAUUACAAAGGCUGAUAAUUUAAAAAUUUAAAUUUAAAUUUAAAAUUUAAAAUUAUUAAUAAAACCCCAAUUUAAAAUCAAAACUAUUAUGCCAGUCCCGCUUGAAUAAAUAAGUGUGUUUUUAGCUCACGACGGAAGGUCCGAAGAUCAGGUACUUGACGUAGGCCAGGGGGAAGUUCAUUCCAGAGCGUUGAUGCUCCCACAGAGAAGGCCCUACUCCUGGGGGUCGCCAGCCGACACUGUUUGGCGGACGGCACCCUGAGGAGACCCUCUCUGUGAGAGCGUACGGGUCGGUGGGAGGCAUAGGGUAACAGCAGGCGGUCUCGUAAGUACCCGGGUCCUAAGCCAUGGAGCGCUUUAAAGGUGGUAACCAAAAUCUUGAAGCGCACCCAAAAGACCACAGGAAGCCAGUGCAGACUACGGAGCAGUGAUGUUACGUGGGAGCCACGAGCGGCUCCCGUUACUACUCGCGCAGCCACAUUCUGGACUAACUGCAGCCUCCGGGUGCACCUCAAGGUCAGCCCCAUGUAGAGAGCAUUGCAGUAAUCCAACCGAGACGUAACCAGAGCAUGGGUGACUGUGCAUAAGGCAUCCCGGUCAAGGAAGGGACGCAACUGGCAAACCAAGUGAACUUGGUAGAAGGCCCUCCUGGGGACGGCCGCCAGAUGUUCAUCAAAGGACAGCCGUCCAUCCAGGAGGACGCCCAAGUUGCGAACCACCUCCUUUGGGGCCACUAACUCGCCCCCAACAGUCAGCUGCGGAUGCAGCUGACUGUACCGGGAUGCCGGCAUCCACAGCCACUCCGUCUUGGAGGGAUUGAGCCUGAGUCUGUUUCUCCCCAUCCAGACCCGUACAGCUUCCAGGCUGUACUUCGACCGCUUCGUUGGGGUGGUCCGGGGUGGAAAAGUACAGCUGAGUGUCAUCAGCGUACAGAUGAUAACUCACCCCGAAACCACUGAUGACCUCGCCCAGCGGCUUCAUAUAGAUGUUGAACAGGGUACACGAGAGAAUCGACCCCUGAGGCACCCCACAAGUGAGGCGCCUUGGGGUCGACCUCUGCCCCCCUGUCAACACCGUCUGCGACCGGUCGGAGAGAUAGGAGGAGAACCACCGAUAAACGGUGCCUCCCACUCCCAAUCCCUCCAGCCGGCGCAGCAGGAUACCAUGGUCGAUGGUAUCAAAAGCCGCUGAGAGAUCUAAUAGGACGAAGGCAGAGGAGCAACCCCUGUCCCUGGCCCUCCAGAGGUCAUCCACCAACGCGACCAAAGCCGUCUCCGUGCUGUAACAGGGUCGGAAGCCGGACUGGAACGGGUCUAGAUAGACAGCUUCCUCCAGGUGCCGGGGAAGCUGCCAUGCAACCACACUCUCUACAACCUUCACCACAAAGCGAAGGUUGGAGACUGGACGAUAAUUUCCCAAAAUAGCUGGGUCCAGGGAAGGCUUUUUAAGGAGAGGUCUCACCACCGCCUCUUUCAAGGCGGCAGGGAAAACCCCUUCCCCCAAAGAAGCAUUUAUAAUCCCCUGGAGCCAGCCUCGUGUCACUUCCUGAGCAGCCAGCACUAACCAGGAAGGACACGGGUCCAGUAAACAUGUAGUUGCAUGUAACCUCCCCAGCAACCUGUCCACGUCCUCGAGAGCCACAGAAUCAAACUCAUCCUAAAUAGCCUCAACAAGACGUGUCUCCGUCAUCUCGGCUGGAUCAUCGCAAUCUUGGUCCAAACUAUCCCGAAGCUGAACGAUUUUAUCGUAUAGAUAACCGUUAAACUCCUCAGCUCGUCCUUGUAAAGGGUCAUCCCGUCCCUCUUGAUGAAGGAGGGAAUGGGUCACCCGAAACAAGGUGGCCGGGCAGUUAUCUGCCGAUGCAAUGAGGGUGGAAACGUAAGAGCGUUUCGCCUCCCUCAUUGCCACUAGGUAGGUCACUGGAUGAGGGUCACUGGAAUCAACGCAACCAGAAGCAGCUUGAGGGAUGACCUACUACACAAAUUCUGAGACGUUUUCGACGACUGUCUUGGCAAGCAUGUGAGGACCCCUAUAUCGUUCAACCUGGAUCCUAACGUAGCCCCCAUUAGACUUAAAGCUAAGAGAGUGCCCUUUGCACUAAAACCAAAAGAGAUCAAGAGCUAGACAAGCUCAUAGAGCAAGGAAUCCUAGUCCCAGUGGACCAUGAGAAAUGGGAAACACCAAUAGUGACCUCACUUAAGCCCGAUAGGUCAGUGCGCAUAUGUGUCGACUAUAAGGCGACCCUAAACAAAGCCCUCCAAAAAAGCGCCUAUCCGGUCCCUUUUGUACAUCAUCUUCUACAUUCGCUGGGCCCUGGCAAGAUUUUUGCUAAACUCAAUCUUGCGUAGGCGUACCAGCAGUUGCCAGUAGAUGGCGCUACCACAAGCACAGACUAUAGUAACACAUAUAGGUACCUUCAAAUGCACAAGACUACAGUUCAGGGUUAGCAUAGCCCCCGGACUAUUCCAGAGUGUAAUGGAGUGUCUGCUGCAACGACUUCCAGGGGUAGUCCCCUAUUUUGCCAACAUCCUUGUCACAGCAACAGACGAACAACAAUUGGAAGACAGUUUACGAAAAGUGCUAACAGCCUUUAGGAACGUGGGACUGCAAGUUAAACAAAGCAAGUACAAAAUAGCAGUGCUUGCCAUUGAAUUCUUGGGGUAGAAAAUAGAUGGAAUUGGCAUUCACCCCACGGAAAGCAAAAUACGGGCUAUUAAGAACACGCCAACCCCUAGGAACAAGGCAGAGCUACAGGCAUUCUUAGGACUUUUGAAUUUCUACUCAAUAUUUCUAAAAGACAAAGCGAGAAUAGCUAAGCCACUCCACCGGUUGCUUGAAAAGAAAUCCUUGUGAGUUUGGUGCAAGUUGGAAGCUGAGGCAUUUACGGCGGUAAAAAGACUUUUAUCUGCCAAAAGCCUCCUAAUACAGUAUAAUGGGACGCUUCCCCUUGUGUUGGUCUGUGACGUGUCCCCCUUUGGUGUAGGGGCCAUCUUGAGCCACAGACUACCAAACAGUCUGGAGGCACCCAUCGCCUAUUUCUUCCGCACCCUGUCCAGUGCUGAGCAGAACUACAACCAGGUGGACAGGAAGCUGUAGCAGGAGUAAAGAAAUUCCAUGAAUAUUUUUUUGGACAGACUUUUGAACUUAUCACAGAUCACCAACCCCUCCUGGGACUCUUGGCUGGAGAUCGCCCCACUCCAGCAGCCAUGUCCCCGCAUCUGACUAGGUGGGCCAUUUUUCUGGCUGCCUAUUCCUACCGACUCGUCUAUCGCCCCGGUCGGUGCCUCAGACAUGCUGAUGCCCUAAGCAGAUUCCCACUACCAGACUUAUAGGAAGACCUGACCCUGGGAAUCCCUGUUCUGCUCAUUGACGCUAUAGACUCGGGGCCUCUCACUUCUGCUGAAGUGGCGAGAGCCUCUGCUAAGGAUCAGGUGUUAUGAACUGUGAUUGGCUAGGUGAAUAGGGGGUGGCCGGUUGGCUCUAUGAGCAGGGAGCUUAAACCGUUUCUUAACAAACAACAUGAACUGAUUAUUCAAGGGAGUUGUCUAUUGUGGGGUGAUCAACUUGAUGUACCGCUAUGCUUACAAAGAAAAGUUUUGAUGACAUUGCAUGCGGGGCACCUGGGGAUUGUAAGAAUGAAGGGGUUGGCAAGGAGCUACGUAUGGUGGCCUAAGUUGGACGACAGCAUUAUCAAUUGGGUGGCUCAAUGUUCUCCCUGUCAGGAGUCGAGGCCUGCUCCUCCCACAGCCCCAGUCAAGGAAUGGGAAAGACGCAGGGGCCCUAAUCGCAAAUUCAUAUUGAUUUCACAGGACCAUUCCAUGGGCAAACAUUUCUCAUAAUUGUUGACGCCUAUUCAAAGUGGCUGGAAAUAAUAUUAAUGCAUUCUACCACUGCGGAGGCGGUGAUCAAGACACCCCAAAAACUCUUUACCACACAUGGGCUACUGGACACACUGGUGUCUGACAAUGGACCUCAAUUCAUGACCACGCAGUUUGAGGGGUACCUGGUAGAACUGGGGGUCUGACAUGCACUCACAGCUCCGUUUCAUCUGGCCAGUAAUGGGCAAGUGGAAAGAUUCGUGAAAACUGCUAAAGAAGCAUUAGCUAGACUAGGGCCGGGGGAUUGGCAGGCCAUAAUUGACACCUUCCUGGCUGCCCAACAUGUCACCCCAUGCAUGGCCACAGGGAGAAGCCCGGUUGAAUGGGCCGGAGGCUCCGCUGUGCCCUGGAUCAGUUACAUCCAAAUUAUUCCCCAGACAGGUGUAGGGAAACCGAAAAAAUGUCUAGAGAGUUCUCCAUUGGAACACCAGUGUUUGCAAGGAACUACAAAGACGGUCUCCUCUGGGUAGCUGGGCACAUCUCUGAAGUCACUGGCCUCAAGUCAUAUACAAUAGAUAUGGGCAAAGGAAGGGUCUGGCAUAGACACAUAGACCAAUUAAGGAAGCAUUUGACCUCAGAGCCAGAGUACCAACCAAUAAUACUAGUCCCUGACUCACAAACCCUUCCUCCGACAGCUAACUUAAGCCCGAAGUGGCCGGAGGACUUACCUGAGGACUUUAGAGUCUAGCACCGCCUUCUCGAAAAGCCAGUCCCAGCCAAAUGAAACAACACUCAUAAAAAAAUCCAGGAGGUUCCAUUGGCUGGGCUGGGAGAAACAAAAAGUCCCUCCAACCAGCCCAAAACCCCACCUCAGACUGAACUGUGCAGGUCAACUAGGAUCAGGGAACGUCCUAGUCAACUGCGUGAUUAUGUAUGUAAAUAGUUGCCUAAGUGUCUUCUGGGAAGGGAGGGGUGUUAUGUAUCUAAUUUUGGAGGGAAAACUGAGUGGGAAAAAGCUUGAUGAUGAUUGACCAGCACCCUGGUCAAAAUAUUAUAUAAGGAGAACUUGUCCUACUGUACAUUUGCUGAAUUCUCACUGUGAAAUAAAGAGCUGUUGUUUACAUAGACCUGGCUCCUAUCUCCUCACUCACCCAACAUAACAUGUAGAAUCAAUGCAUCUGCUCUCAAAGAUAGGAGGAAGCACACAUACAGAAAUUUUCAGAAAAUCCUGCAAAAGGGCUGAAUUCACAAUUAAAAUUCUUAAUGGCAAUAAGUCUUAAUCAUUUAGCAAGAUGUAUGAAACUGGUAUUGUCAAAAUAAACCACUGUUGUUACUUUCAACUAAACCAACCAUGUUUUUAGAAAGGGCUGAACAUUCACAGAACCCCAUACUGAU